rnacentral:rRNA from 1 species
GACGAACGCUGGCGGCGUGCUUAACACAUGCAAGUCGAACGGAAAGGCCCUGCUUUUGUGGGGUGCUCGAGUGGCGAACGGGUGAGUAACACGUGAGUAACCUGCCCUUGACUUUGGGAUAACUUCAGGAAACUGGGGCUAAUACCGGAUAGGAGCUCCUGCUGCAUGGUGGGGGUUGGAAAGUUUCGGCGGUUGGGGAUGGACUCGCGGCUUAUCAGCUUGUUGGUGGGGUAGUGGCUUACCAAGGCUUUGACGGGUAGCCGGCCUGAGAGGGUGACCGGCCGCAUGGGGACUGGGAGAGGACCCAGAGACAAAUGGGAGGCAACAGUCGAAAGUAUUACGCAAUGAGGGGAAGCGAGAUGCAGCAACGCCGCGUGCGGGAUGACGGGCUUCGGGGUGUAAACAGCUUUCGAAUGUGACGAAGCAUGAGUGACGGUAAUGGGUAAAGAAGCACCGGCUAACUACGUG